CUCCUGUUUGAAUACUUGUAAAUGGUGGAGAUCCCUACUCGUAAGCCAUAUAUAUUCCUGUAUGGGACAAAAAAUCAAAUCAAAUGAACAUGGGACCAUAUGAAUGGCGAGUUAUUGGAUCUUUGUUUGGGAGACUUCGUAACAGCAUCCUGUUACAAUUACUUCUUGUUAUUUACACCACUGGGUCGAUGCCACUGCUGGUGGACGUUUCGUCCCCGAGGGUAUCACCAGCCCAGUAGUCAACACUUCGGUGUUGACAUGAAUAUCAAUCAUGUGGUCAUUUUUAUAAAUUUCCUGUUUACAAAACUUUGAAUUUUUCGAAAAACUAAGGAUUUUC
rnacentral:lncRNA from 1 species